GAUGAACGCUGGCGGCGUGCCUAAUACAUGCAAGUCGAGCGAACAGACGAGGAGCUUGCUCCUCUGACGUUAGCGGUGGACGGGUGAGUAACACGUGGAUAACCUACCUAUAAGACUGGGAUAACUUCGGGAAACCGGAGCUAAUACCGGAUAACAUGUUGAACCGCAUGGUUCAACAGUGAAAGACGGUCUUGCUGUCACUUAUAGAUGGAUCCGCGCCGCAUUAGCUAGUUGGUAAGGUAACGGCUUACCAAGGCAACGAUGCGUAGCCGGCCUGAGAGGGUGAUCGGCCACACUGGAACUGGGACACGGUCCAGACUCCUACGGGAGGCAGCAGUAGGGAAUCUUCCGCAAUGGGCGAAAGCCCGACGGAGCAACGCCGCGUGAGUGAAGAAGGUCUUCGGAUCGUAAAACUCUGUUAUUAGGGAAGAACAAAUGUGUAAGUAACUAUGCACGUCUUGACGGUACCUAAUCAGAAAGCCACGGCUAACCACGUGCCAGCCGCCGCGGUAA
rnacentral:rRNA from 1 species